GGCUUCUAGAAACCCUAAUCUGAUUACCCUAGGGUUUUGGAUGCCUAUAUAUACUCAUUAUAACCCCUAGAUCAGAUCAUCACCUCUCAUACAUAACCAUUCACGCCAGAAAUUAAACCUUGAUUUCUGCCGCACCUUUCCAUCACCAAAGUCCCAAAAUUCUGCCCAAAAUCAUCCCUAGCCGUACCCCCAUCAACCCUAAACCUUUCCAUACCAUUCCCCAUCCAUUCUACACCACAAAUAACCCCAAAAACCUGUUCUAAAGUCUCUGCCGCAGCAAGGAGGAAGGAGAAUUCGUUGGAUGCACUUGCUGCCAAGUUGGAGCGUUCUAGGUGUUUUCUUUCUUUGGAUUUUAAUUUCUAAAUUUAUGUAUCUUGGCUUUGCGAGUAUGAGGAACUAAACCCCCCCUUGGCUAGGGGGGGAUUCGAAACCAUGUUUAUGC
rnacentral:lncRNA from 1 species